rnacentral:rRNA from 1 species
UCGAACGAAGUAGCAAUACUUAGGGGCGAACGGGUGAGUAAUAUGUGGGAAUCUACCUUUCGGUCCGGAAUAACAUGAGGAAACUUGUGCUAAUACCGGAUAAGCCUUUACAGGGAAAGCUUUAUGCUCCGAUUGAUGAGUCCACACUUGAUUAGUUAGUUGGUGAGGUAAUGGCUCACCAAGACAAUGAUCAAUAGCUGAUUUGAGAGGAUGAUCAGCCACAUUGGGACUGAGACACGGCCCAAACUCAUACGGGAGGCAGCAGUGGGGAAUCUUGCACAAUGGGGGAAACCCUGAUGCAGCGAUGCCGCGUGAGUGAAGAAGGCCCUUGGGUUGUAAAGCUCUUUCGUCGGGGAAGAAAAUGACUGUACCCGAAUAAGAAGGUCCGGCUAACUUCGUGCCAGCAGCCGCGGUAAUACGAAGGGACCUAGCGUAGUUCGGAAUUACUGGGCUUAAAGAGCACGUAGGUGGUUAAAAAAGUUGGUGGUGAAAUCCCAGAGCUUAACUCUGGAACUGCCAUCAAAACUCUUUAGCUAGAGUAUGAUAGAGGAAAGUAGAAUUUCUAGUGUAGAGGUGAAAUUCGUAGAUAUUAGAAAGAAUACCAAUUGCGAAGGCAGCUUUCUGGAUCAUUACUGACACUGAGGUGCGAAAGCAUGGGUAGCGAAGAGGAUUAGAUACCCUCGUAAUCCAUGCCGUAAACGAUGUGUGCUAGACGUUGGAAAUUUAUUUU